UCCCCCGCCAACGGUUGGCAUGGUUAUACUUACGAACAUUAAGAAAAGUCUCCAAGUUUUUUAUUUAGGUAUCGAUUGCUGUGAUACAAGAAGAAACUUCCAGGAUCUCCUUGACGACGACAAAGAAGAUGACGAGGGAGGACCACAUGAGAAGGAUGAAGGACUACAGGACCAGAAGAAGAGCGGCGGUUGCCUUUCUUUCAGUGGGCGGAGGCAGGACUCCUCUGUCUCUCUCCCAGCUGGAGGUGGAUGUCAACCAACCCGUCACCUUCAGCAGACCACGACACAAGUCAAUCAGGACCCCCCCCCCCCCCCCCGCUCGUCCACCCAAACCCCCGACACCGCCCGCCCCGCCCACACAGGAAGCAGCUGUGAAGAAGACGGACGCUUCAGCCUGAACAAGACAUAAUAAUUCUUUCAUUUGUCACAUGGAAUCCUGUAUGUUCAUGUAAACUGUGUACAGUAUGUAGAUUGUUAUCUCCUGAUUUUAAUGAAUACAUUUACCACAACAUCAAAA